UAAAGUCCAUCACCGGGUAACGGAGUCGGCCGUAGGGUAAACCGUAUGACUGGGGCU
rnacentral:rRNA from 1 species